AGGCUCCUCCUCUCUGGCUCCUCCACCCCGGCUCCACCUGCGUCUCUGUCCCUCCUGGGAUAACUGUGCUCCUCUGGGAUCCUGCACCUGCUCCCAGCCAUGGUGGCCAGGCUCACCGCUCUUCUCGUUUGCCUCGUUUUCUCCUUGGCUACUCUGGUCCAGAGAGGAUAUGGAGACUUCGAUGAUUUCAAUCUGGAGGAUGCGCUGAAAGAAACUUCCUCAGUAAAGCAGAGAUGGGACCACAUCACCACUACUACAACGAGAAGGCCAGGAACAACUAGAGCACCGUCAAAUCCUAUGGAACUUGAUGGUUUUGACUUGGAAGAUGCCUUGGAUGAUCGGAACGAUCUAGAUGGCCCCAAAAAGCCAAGUACUGGAGAAGGAGGAGGUUGGUCAGACAAGGAUCUCGAAGACAUCUUGGGAGGCGGGGGAUACAAACCUGACAAGAAUAAAGGUGGCGGUGGUGGUUAUGGCAGCCAUGAUGACCCUGGAUCCGGCGCAGUGACAGACCCCGGCACCAUAGCGGGCCUGGUCAGCACCCUGGCCGUGGCCCUUCUCGGAGCGGUGUCCGGCUACCUCUCCUACCAGCACCGGAAGUUCUGCUUCAGCGUCCUGCGCGGCCUGGAGGAAGCCUACAUGAAGGGGGAGAACCUGGAAGCCGUGGUGUGCGAGGAGCCCCGGAUGGAAGCCUCGAUGUGCGAGGCGCCCCCAGUGACGGACUCGACACAACACACACAGCCUGCAGAGCCCCCGGCACCCGAGCCCCCGGCACCGGAGCCGCCCCGGAUCUGAGGCCCUGACCUAUGCCCGAUAUUUACACACUGGCAGCACAGGCGUCCUCAUUUGGAGGUCCCAUGGAGAUCGGGAAAGAGAGGACAACCUGAUGGGAUCAUUCCAAAAGGCCAGCCGGCAAGGAAGCGGAACGUAUUGGGGACAAGUGGUGACCACUGGAAAAUCUAGAAGCAAUGAAAACUCCAUUUUACAAAAAUGGUGAAGGCACCUGAAGAGUAACAACCAAGGUUGUCCUCUGGCCUCCACACAGGCAAGAUGGAUUCUGGAUGGUGUUUCCUUCUCCUCUGGAAGACACAGGAAACUCUACCACUCAGUCCUCCAAGGCUUCAGGCAUCCGCAUGGAAGGCACAGCAAGAGGAGAGACAGUGUCAGUGCAUCCACUGCUCCACCACAGUCUGCUUUCUCACUGGGAAAACAAAGGCCUCCCAGGAAUGCUGAAGCCUGCAAAGAGGAGGUAGAAACAGCUUUUGAAUGACUCAAAAGUGUUUUUAAAAAAUCUAUUGAGUGAGUUCUCAUUUGAAGUUCAUAGAACACUCACUUCCUAGUUGAAAAUUGGUAUUUGAGGAGCAAAUUAAACAUCGAAACUUCCUAAAAAUGUAUCUUAAGGAAACCAAAUAGGUCCAAAUGAUGACUGUUCCUCUGUAUAGAAGACUGUUUAUUAAGAAUAUGGAAAGCAAGACAGAAUCAGAAAAGCCCACAUUCUGUAAUUCCUAUUAAAUUUAGCAAUUUAGUUACUAUGUUGAAUUCUAAUUAAAAUGUUCAGUUGUUGGGACAUAAGAAAGUCACAUAGGAACAACAGUAACACUGCAGAGAUGGUUGUCUUGUGGUCGGUGGUGAGAGAGGGGCUAAGGGAUCAGUGAAAGCUCAGACUGGACCAACAAGCUCAUCAGGUAAAGGAGAUUGCCACCAAGCCUGGUGACCUGAGUGUGAUCCCUGGAAUCAGGUCCAAAGGAGAGAACUCCUCCCAAAAGUUACACUUUACUACACAGUACACAGUGGCAUUCAGGUGCACAAGUGCACACACACACACACACACACACACACACACACACAGAAAGAGAGAGAGAGAGAGAGAGAGAGAGAGAGAGAGAGAGAGAGAGAGAGAGAGAUGAAUAAACAUAAUAUAUCUUGUAAAGCUCAAACAUCACAAUGCCUAAGAAUGAAUCCUAGCAUCCAGUCAGUGUUGCGGAACAGAAGGCAGAAGCAGGCCAUUCAGCAGGAGCAGCAGGCCAAGUCUUCAGCAAGCUAGUGAGUUUCUAAGAAUGUGGGUCCUGAGCCAAAAAAGUCGGGAACCAGGCUGUGUCUGAACAAAGGGACCAUCAAAGGAAUUUUUGAGAACUGGAUGCAGGCGUUUGCAUUUCUACCAGAAUUAUUGUUAAUGUUGGCAUUCAUUCUACACUCCACCCAGCAGUUACCUAGCAACAGCCAGGUAGGCCUGGCUUGCUAUAAAAGGACUCUUUGGCCUCUCUUAUGUUCUCUGACUCUCUAAACCCUUUGCUUUCCCUGACCCCUUUCCCUUUUUCUUCCCCUCCCCCAUUGCUCUUCACAUGUUUCUAUCCAGCUUCUUCUCCUCUCUUCUCUCUUUCUCUCUCUCUCUCCCUCUUUCCAUCUUUCUCUCCUCUCCCUCUCUCUCUGUCUCCUCCUUUUCUCUGCCUCUUCUCCCUCCUCAACUCCCCUUCUCAUGCCCCUAAAUAAACUUUAUUCUAUAUGAGUCCCCAUGCAGGGAGGAUGCCUCAGCAUGGGCCCGCUGAAGUGCCCCUCACACCACACUCUAUAAAAUGUAUUCUUUUCCUUUUCGACCAAGCCAGCUCAGUCAUUCAAAGGUUAUGCAGGGCAGGAGUGAGGAUUAAAAAAAGAAAAAAGACAAUUAGACAUCAAUUAACACAACUCCAGCCAGUGCUGAGGCUGAAGCAGCUUUAUUUCUCUCUGUCUGCUUUUGUAUCACUUUAAUUACAUGCAGAACGGUCAGAUCCUUUCUGAGCCAAGGAACAAGCAAGGUGAUAAACAAAAUCCUGGAACCAUCUUUCUGGGGCUUAAUCUGGAUGACCAAGACCAAAGGAUUGCCACACAGGCUUCAGCUGAGCCUGCUCUGAGCUUUGCAUUAACUCAAAAGUAAAUGUUCUUAAUCAGGGCCUAUAUCCUGAGUACUGGCCCAAAGUCAGAUUUCCACCUUGAGCUGAAGUCUUUUGCCCUGAUAAUGUCAGAUUCCUGCCAAGUGUCUAGAAGCAAGUGGCCCCCAAAGGCUCUCUACACUUUUUAUAAAACACAUCAAUUCUAACCGGCAGAAGGGUGCUGUGUGGAAAGGUAGAGAUGCUUGAGUGAAGCAAGCAGGUAACAAAACAUUGUGAUACUUCAGUGACACCUCACCCUUCAGUACUGAGGAGGAGCUGGGCUAAAGUGUCCAUAGCAGUAAUUUCUCAAUGGUAGGGAGAUGCUAUAUCAUUGCAUUUCUCUUUAUUUUAAACAACCAUGAUUUUUUUUCAGGAUGCACACAUGAUAUUUAUUUGAUUAUCAGUUACUAUUUAUGUGAUGUGUAUGGGUAUUUUUUUUGCAAGUAUGUGGUGUCCACAUGAAUGCCUGAUGCUCUAGAAAGCCAAAGAGGGCAUCAGAUCCUGUCAGUUGUGAGUUGACAGGUUCUUCUUGAGUUGAACUUGGGUUCUCUGUUAAAACAGCCAAUGCUCUCAACCACUGAGCCAAUCUCCCUGCGUAAGCCAUCCCCAAAUAGGAGUUGGAACUGCCAUUUCCACAUCUAGCUGCCGGGAUAAAGAGUCCCAUGUCUAAAUCCCAUCUGUGAGUUCAGAGCCUUCCAGGGUAUCUGAAAAGAUCUUCUCAGUACAGGCCCAACACCUCUGAGACUUUCUCAUGCUCUUCCCACCCCAGCUUUAGUCUCCUUGAUGGUGGCCUGGUUCCUUGAAAACGAAAGAAGUAAAAAGUUCUUAAGAAGCUGUGGCUUUUUGUUUAGCUUCUGGUUUUAGUGGCUUUGAUGAAAAGCUGGAUUAUAGGAAAAAGAUUUUGUACAUCAAUUUGCGAUCAUAGAAUUCAUAUCCAACAAACUGGUGAGAACUGGGUUCAGAGCUGGAGAGGGGAGACUCAGAAGGAACUUGAGAACUGUCCAAAGCUACAUCCUAUUUCCCUUUGCAACUGCAGGAGCGGGAGAGGCUGAUUUCACAGAUGUGCUGUUUUGUGUUGUACUAGGCUUGAUAGUGAGAAAGAACAGUGCCUCCCUUUGUAGCCUCAAACUCCAGGCUCUCCUGUCUCGGUUCCCCAAGCAUCAGGAGGGCAGGUGUGGGCUGCCACAGCUCUAGCAGGAACAGGAUGAUUUCUGUGUUCUGUUCUCUUCUUCAUGGGCUGAGGCUGAGCCUGGAGUCUCCAUGUCAGUAGCAUCCUUCAAGGCUGUUCCUCUGCAGCUCUGAAACUUUUUUUUGUUUAAUUUUUUUAUGUAAACCAAGUUUAUUUUUCCUUUUAAGUAGUGUUCUUAAAGCACUACAGCUAGGUAAACAAUGUGAAUUGGUAUAAGUCAUCUGAAAAGCCAGAGUUUUGUUUUCAUUGUUGUUGUUUUUUGAUGAGUUUUUAAAAAGAUGCAGCCUAUUCUAACAGGAUAAAUAUUUUUAACCAUUUCACUUUGAGUUGAUGAAGGCUCACAAAUGAGCAACACUCCUCAUUGAGGAAAACAAAAAGCUAUUGUCCACAAGGGACAGCUCACACACACAAACAAAAAGAGCUGUGUAAAAAUAACCCACUGUGCCCAUAUUAAAUCUUGACCCCUGGGGAGAUGCCUGGGGAGGUUCACUGUCAGAAUAUUCAAGCCCUGGGGCUCCCUCUACAGGAACAACUUGAAAACCUUGAAAACUUCAUUUGUAAGUAACAAGAAAAACCUGAUUUUACCUAAGCUAUAAAAUUUUAAAGCUCAGAGGUAGCAUUUGAACAUUUUUAGUUGGAAACCUCUCUGGAAGGUUUCUUGCUCUAAAGCACCCAUGAAACGGGUGCAGCCACUGUCUUUGCUAUUGUUCCAGUCCUUUCUGUACAGCAACACAGGGACAAUCAUCUCCAGUCUCUGAACUGCAGUCGACUGUGAGCAUAGCUCCAGUGUGGGACAGCUAGCUUUCCUCCAGUUCUUAGGGACAGCAUUCUUAACAUGUGAAUGCCUGUAGCAUCUCUCAUCUUUGGCCCUUCUUCCUCCCUCCUUCCUGUCCUUCUAUUUGUCUGUGCUAGACAAGGUUCUGCCAUUAGACUGUCGCCCCACAUCUGAGUUUCUUUUCAUAGGAGUAAAUCACCAAAUCAUAUAAAGUGACAUCCCCAGAGAUGACAGCUUGUUUCCCUGUCACUUCCUUGUGGCUGUUCUCUUGAGAAAGGCUCUCAAUGCACAGCCCAGACUUAACACAGCCUAGAGACCCUCCUGCCUCUGCCUCCCAGUCCAUGUCGCUUUCAUCUGAAAUGAGAUUAAAAACUCAAAUUUCAGUGUAUCUCCCUAGUACUGGGAGCUUUCUCUCUUGAAGAUGCUCUGACAAUUUAGUGGGCCAGCAUUGAUUUGAAUCAGUUUGACCUUGGGUUGGCAAAAAUAUUCCCUGACUUCAUGGACUUCAUUUCUUCUCUUUGAAAGUCUCUGAGAACCUGGUUCUUAUUUUGUUCUUCAGGGCCCAAGAGUCCAGAGAUUAGAAAUAUACCAAAGGUGAAGAUUCUAGCAAGAAACCUUGUCCCAUAAACUCAGGCCUUAAAAGGAAGGCUAAAGAUGACUUAGUGAAGGCAAUGUAUUUUUACACUCUUUUCAUGGGGAAAAUACAAAUCAGUAAGAUAGACAGAAAGAAGACACUAAAGAAAACAGAGCCCUGUCCAUGAGACCUUACAGGUAUCUGUUGGUUGGGAUUCUCUGUAAGCUUCUAGCCCCAACAUCAUCUCACCUGGAUGUUCUACUAACAUCAUGCCUGGUUGAGUUUACAGUUGUUUAAUAUCAUACAUAGAACCAGUGUCGUAGUCAAUGUUCUAUUGCAAUGUAGAGACACCAUGAACAUGACAACUCUUAGGAAGGAAAACUUUCAAUUGGACUUAACAUUUUCAGGGGUCUAGUCUAUUAUUGUCAUGGGGGUGGUGGGAACGCAGGAAGGCAUGGUAGUAGAUAGCUGAGAAUUCUACAUUCCAACCAGCAGGCAGCAGGAAGGAAGCAAAGACAUUGGGCCUAACCUGACCAUUGUCAGAUUCUCUUUUUGAUCCCAAGAAACAAAUAGAUUUAGGUCUGUGGAGCUUUCCAGACAAAUGUGGUGGUUAGGCCCUGUAAUUCUAAUACCCUGGAGAUAGAGAAUCAGUCAUGGUGAAGACCAAUUUCAGCCCACAGUGAGACCCUGUGUCAAAACACACACACACACACACACACACACACACACACACACACACAAAAGUAAAACAAAAACACAAGAACCUGAAGAAAUAUACCACACCUUGAUUACAUAACCUUCUGCAUACCCUGAGGGAUUACUGGGGUCAGGCUAGUUGGACAAUAAAUCUUAACAGUGAACAGCACUGAUCAAUCAAGAGGCCUUGACUGAAUACAAAGAAAAAGAGCUUGGAGCAUAAGCAUUCAUUGCUCUCUGCAUUCUCAGGGUGGAUACAAUAUAGAAAGCUGCUCAAACUGCAUAGUGGACCGUGGCCUCCAAUUGUUGGCCAACAUACACCCCUUCAUUAAGUUGACUCUCCGGCAUGUGUUUUAGUAAUGGGGAAGGAACUCAUGUGGUAGGACAUCUACAAAUCAGUGUGAAAAGGCAGGCAUGUUAAAAGUAGGGAAAGGCUCUAAUGGAAGCUUCAUAAACAAGAAAAUCUCCAAAUUGCAGUCUUUAAGUGUAGGGAGCAGCACAUAUAGAUAAAAAGAUGGCGCUGACAUCUGGUGGUCGUUUGUGGUAAACAACCUUACAGCGCAUGUGUUGACAUACCUCCAGCAUCUACAAGGCCGGGGUGAUAUUCAUGCUCAUGAGGUAUUUCAUGCUCCACCAAUUCCUAGAGGACAAAUAUACAGCCAUAGCCUGUUUUGUAUAUAAGGCUAGUGCCUUUGUUCCUCGGGGUCCCUGUAUCAACAAUGAGGUGUUCCUGCAAUAAAGGCGGUUGAGAAGAAUCCGGUGGUGUUGCGUCUUCCUUGCUGGCCGAGGUGGGUGUGCCAACUGGUGGCGUGUACAUGGACCUGAGGACAUCCUCGUGGAUUCAGAACUCUUCAGGCUCAGGACUGCAACGUUGAAUCAAGACAAUCCAAUUUGGGUGCCUGAGUGUUUGACUCGCAAACUGCCUCCUGCUACUACUGACAAUGGAACUACGCACUCUAUUAUUGCUGGGAAUGGUAAUCCAGGUUGAUUCACUCACUCUGUGGGUUAUUGCCAGAUCCUGGCCAGUACUUAUGCCAGUUCAUAGCAAUUCUACUGUUUUGCCAACCUUUUUCUCCACCUCCUGUUUGCGUGAUGUUCCCUGUAUAGUGCCAAAUGGAGAAUUGCCCCAACGGUAUACUGCCACUAAUCUUUCUUUAUUACAUACCUUAUGUUGCACUCUUAUAAAUUCCUCCCAGGCUUGUGUAUGGCUGCGAAGGACAACAUUGGCUAAUUGGUUAGAUCCUAUGAGCAGUAGUGCUAUGGGCGCUAGUGCCAUCCUGGCUGCUUUGAGUCAAGUUACCCAAGGAGCCUCUUCAGGCAGCGGAGACACAUCAGCCAAUAAUUCUGCUGAGUUGAACAUUACAACUUUGAUUAUGAUGCAUAAUUGUAGUUUUCCAUCACGCCCGGGGCAAGGCAAUCACACACUGGAUAACUCUACCUGUCGUAGAGUCCUACCUACUUGCCCCCCAUAUCAAAAGUUUCCACCUGAUUUUACCCCAUGUCAGAGUCCAUUCCAUAGAGCAAAACAAUUCCUACCGGGAUUUGAAUUUUCCCCUCCUCUUGGCCAUGUACAGUUUGAUUGGGGGGGAAAUAAGACUGGCAAGCAUAAUUUUUGGCCUUGGUAUCAAUGGGUAUUAUCAAAUGAGCAGGGAGCAUAUACAUCUCUAAUUCCUUUUACCCGAUUAUUAGGUGAAGACUUUACAUUGUAUAAUAUUUCAGCCACUAGAACAAAUAACAAAACCAGUUUAGUAAAUGUAAAGAUUAAUGGCCUUUUAGCAAAUGAUACUGCCGUUGGUGCUUCAGUAUGUGUUAGACCACCUUUCUUCUUUCUGAUAAGCACUAAUGUAGGCGAUGAUGCUUUAAAUUGUAAUAACUCUGCUGUAGUAUGCUCUUUAGCUGAAUGCUGGAAUGGCACCAAUGAUACCACAGUGAUGGUCAAGAUUCCCUCCUUUGUGCCAAUCCCAGUAGAGGCCAACCCAGAUAGCUUUCCUAUUCUUAAUUUGCUAAGAACCAGAAGGGAUUUUGGAAUUACAGCAGCCAUAAUUUCAGCUAUUGUGCUGUCUGCUGCUGCAGCUACCACAGCUACAAUUGCUAUGACUAAUCAAGUACAGACGGCUGAGACUAUCAAUCAGAUUGUGGAAAGAACCGCAGUGGCACUAGAGAUACAAGAAGAAUUUAAUACCUACUUGGCAUCUGGCUUUCUAUUAGCUAAUCAAUGGAUAGAUUUAAUCCAAGAACUAAUUGAAGCAUUAUAUCAUAUGACACGGCUGUCCUGCCUUUCCUCCCUUAGAGGUUUAUGCAUUACUCUUUUACAAGCUAAUUUUUCUCAGUAUUCUCAACACAGCAAAGAAAUCUCGAAUUAUCUGAAAGGAAACUGGUCCAUGAAAACAGAGCAACUAUCGAGACAAUUGCUGGUGCAGAUUGCUGUCCUUAACAACACUAGAUUGGAACCUAUCACGUUUGGAGAUUUCACCUCAUGGAUUACCAAUGCUUUCUCCUUUUUUAAAGAAUGGGCUGGCAUGUUUGCCUGGGGGGCCAUUGUCCUCUUGGGAUGCAGAGUAUGUCUCUGGCUCCUCUGCUGUUUAAAGAGAGCAUGCCAGACACAAAGCGAUUGUUUACCAGCCUAUGGUCACCAUUGAAAAUGGUGCUUCUCCCAACAUACGGCUGGCCUCUUUGAAAAAUUAAGAGUUCGCCCUAGAUCUUUUUUGUCACUAUCAAGUGAAGUCAUUGUAUCCAGAGACGGGCAACUUUCCUUGGGCUAGGACCAACCUAAGACAUGGGGCCCGGUGGCGAUAGGGUAACCCUAUGACAGAUAAGACUGAGUCGCCAAGAGGAACGACCUAAGACAGGAGCAAUGACAAUAUUGACGUGACACCCUGAUCUAGACCAGUCAUAGACAGAGGUGGCUAUACCCCAUUUAAACAUACAGGGUGGUCAAAUGCUCUUCUGCCCAGUUUCUCCCCCAAUAAAAACACACGUAUAGCCUAGAACGGUGUGUUACAGCAUAAGUUCAUUUCUCGCCAUUGGGGUGCAGUCCUAACUGCAAGAGUGGCUUGCCAUGGCCAAGCUGGGCACUCUGUGAGACAUGUCUGAUCUCUCUCAGACCACUACUUCCAUCUAAUGGCUUUUUUAUAAAACAAAAAAGGGGGAGUUGUAGGGAGCGGCACAUAUAGAUAAAAAGAUGGCGCUGACAUCUGGUGGUCGUUUGUGGUAAACAACUUUACAGUGCAUAUGUUGGCAUACCUCCGGCAUCUACAAGGCCGGGGUGAUAUUCAUGCUAAUGAGGUAUUUCAUGCUCCAUCAAUCCCUAGAGGACAAAUAUACAGCCAUAGCCUGUUUUGUAUAUAAGGCUAGCGCCUUUGUUCCUCGGGGUCCCCGUAUCAACAAUGAGGUGUUCCUGCAAUAAAGGCGGUUGAGAAGAAUCCAGCGGUGUUGCAUCUUCCUUGCUGGCCGAGGUGGACGUGACAUUUAAGUAUACUGUAUGUACAACACCAACAUUAACAAGUAAAACACAUCCAAAUUUCAAGGAGAGACAUUCUAGGCAUGGUGGCACAUGUGUAUAAUCCUGGAACUUGGGAAGGUGAAGCAGGAGGAUCUCUGUGAGUUUGGGUCAGCCAGGACUACAUAGUCAGUUAAAGCCACCUUAUAGUUUGUCCAAAAAGAAAUUUUUUUCAGUGAGAUAACAUAACAAGUCAAGAAUACAUAAACAGAAAACUCCAACAGUAGAAGUGUUACUGAGGAUGCAGAGUGAUAGGAAGCACCCAAACUCCUUGGAUGUGGUGUAAGUUGGAACACAUUUUUAUGCCAAUAAAAACUAGGUGUGCCCAUACCCUGUGAUCCUGAAGUCACAGGCCUGUGUACACUGCAUUAGAGGAUCUGCCUUCUCUGAUCCAACACCUGCAUUUCAAGACACAGGAAGCAGAGCCACACUGGCUCCAGGGUGAGUCCGCAGCCAUAAGUGCUGUGGAUCCCCCUCAGUCCUGCAGUUCUUGAGGGCAUUGGCUACUAAUGGUCCAGAUUUGGCUCCUUAACCCGUGGUUAAGUUGUUAGUGCGAGCAGGCUAUGUAGUCUCUGGGACCUGAAAAACAUUUGACUGUCAUUCUUGGAAUUAAUCUGCUGUGCAUGGCUAAAAGCAUCUGCACUCAGGAACUACUAGCCGGUGUCUUGGUGAUAUUAAACAUGUACCCUUCCCCUGGAGAUUCCCCAGAGUGACCUUAGAUUGGUCCUAUUUCUAGCUGAUAGAAUUGGAGGUAGAGCUUAGAUUGGCUAUGAGCUCCCUGCUUCUGAUCUUUUAGAUUAUCAGGAUUUAAUAUCUUUCCUACAAAAAAAGACAACAUAAGAAAACUACAAUAUAUUGAGGUUGGAAGCCCACUCUGGCUGACAUCAUUACCAUGGCAUCAUUCUGUGAAUAGCAUAUAAAACUGGGCUCUAGCAUUCAUGUGGUAAUUUGUGCCAAAACAAGUUUCCUGAGUGAUCAAGACAAGAGAGAUGAAGUAAUAGAAAAUAUUUGGUAACUUAAGUACAUAUGAUUUUAAAGUUUUAUGCUUGGAAAGUUGUUAACAAUCAUACAAAUAUUAUUUUAAAAUAUUUUCUGUGUUCAAACAUGUAUGGAUUAAAUAAACUAUUAAUGAAACAUAAGUCUAAAGAAAAUAAGAAAACUAUCAUUAUAA